AUUGAACGCUGGCGGCAGGCCUAACACAUGCAAGUCGAGCGAGCGGCGGACGGGAGAGUAAUGUAGGGGGAUCUGCCCGAUAGAGGGGGAUAACUACUGGAAACGGAGGCUAAUCCCGCAUACUAUCGGAUGAACCCGUAUGGGAUUAGCUGGUGGGUGGGGUAAAGGCUCACCUAGGCGACGAGCACUAGCGGGUCUGAGAGGAUGAUCAGCACAACUGGAAUGGAGAACCGGCCAGGACUCCUACGGGAGGCAGAAUUGGGGAAUUUUGGCCAAGGGGCGCAGUCCUGAUGCAGCCAUGCCGCGUGUAUGAAGAAGGUCUUAGGGUUGUAAAGUACUUUCAGCGAGGAGGCGUUACCCACAGAGAAAGCACCGGCUAACUCCGUGCCAGCAGCCGCGGUAAUUC
rnacentral:rRNA from 1 species